rnacentral:rRNA from 1 species
GAUGAACGCUGGCGGCGUGCCUAAUACAUGCAAGUCGAGCGAAUGGAUUAAGAGCUUGCUCUUAUGAAGUUAGCGGCGGACGGGUGAGUAACACGUGGGUAACCUGCCCAUAAGACUGGGAUAACUCCGGGAAACCGGGGCUAAUACCGGAUAACAUUUUGAACCGCAUGGUUCGAAAUUGAAAGGCGGCUUCGGCUGUCACUUAUGGAUGGACCCGCGUCGCAUUAGCUAGUUGGUGAGGUAACGGCUCACCAAGGCAACGAUGCGUAGCCGACCUGAGAGGGUGAGCGGCCACACUGGGACUGAGACACGGCCCAGACUCCUACGGGAGGGAGAAGUAGGGAAUCUUCCGCAAUGGACGAAAGUCUGACGGAGCAACGCCGCGUGAGUGAUGAAGGCUUUCGGGUCGUAAAACUCUGUUGUUAGGGAAGAACAAGUGCUAGUUGAAUAAGCUGGCACCUUGACGGUACCUAACCAGAAAGCCACGGCUAACUACGUGCCAGCCGCCGCGGUAA